ACAUAAUUAAAGUUUCUUGGGUAAAUCUGCAGUUAAGCGGCGUAAAAUAAUUAUAUUAUUUUGCUUUUUGCGCUCUCGUUCGCGGAGACUAAAAAACAAAAGAAAUUCAAAACGAAUUUUAAUUGCUUUGAAAGGUUUAAAAUAAAAAUUAGAUUAUAAAAAUUAUUUAGAUUAAAUAGCUUAAUUGCUGAGUAAACUUGAUUGCUAAAGAAACUAGAUUAAGUUUUUAAUUCUACUUGAUUAUCAACUGCUUUUAACGCAAAAAAAUUCAUUUGGAUUUGAGAAAAGGGAACAACAUUUUCAGAGUUUUUCUGCUUUAACCCUAAAAAUAAAAUUUAAUAAUAUCAGUGGUUUUUAUUAGGAAUUACUAAAGUUAAAAAGGCUGAAAGAAAAAAUUAUGAUGAUUUGUUUCCAGAAAGUAAGUGAUUAUGAUAUUGAUUGUGAUGACCAAAAGAUUCAUUUUAAGACACAUCAAUUUUCAUCAUCUUAAAAUAAAAAGGAUAAAUAUGAUAGAUUUCCAUUAUCUCAAGCAAGUAAGUCUUUAGUUAAAAAUAAUAAUGUAAUGUUUGUUCUAAAAUACUAACACGACUGUCAAUUUUAAAAGAUUUCAUCGAAAUGAUGAGGUUCCAAUUUUAACUUUAAAUAAUCACCUGCAUGAAAUCCAUUAUUUCAAUAUUAUCAAAAUUAUAAAUCUAUGGAACAAUCUUUCUUCUCUAACCCUAAAUCUGAGAAAAACUGUAAUAUAUAGUAAAAUAUUUAUUGUGGCUAUACCAAAAAUUAGCAUUGCCACAAUUAAGUAUUUUACUGUCUAUUAGUUUUUCUCUGAUUUAGGGUUAGACCAGUAAAGUUGUUAAAUUAUUAAAUUUAUGUAUUUUAAAUUUAUUUAUACACGUAGUUUUGUUAAAACUAUGUAAAAUUUAAUUAUUGUAAGUUUGUUUAGAUUUAAUAUUGUGUGUCGCGUCUCCUAAAUGAGAUAAAAACCAAAAGAUCCAAAAAACUUAAUAUAAAAUAGCAUGAGCAAUAUAAUAAUAAAUGAGCAAGAAGUAGUAACUGAAAUGAACAGCCUAAUAGAAUUUGAUAAGUUUGACUCAGCACUUGAUAAUGUUUCAUCUAGUAACUCUGUAGUAACUCUGCAGUUGUAAAUUGCUAAAUACUGAUUUGACAAAUUUUUUCUUUUUUAAAAAUUUUAUUUAAAAUAUAUAAUUUUUACUACUUAAUUAGGAAUUAUCAGUUUUUCCAUAAUUUCUUUCUAUUAGAAACAAAGAGUUCAAAAUAUUAGUGGUAAGAAUUGUCAAAAACUUGUGAUAGCUAUGAUGAAGAGUUUUAUGACAAAUUCAUUCGUGAUCAAAUUUAAUAUGGCAGCUGGAAAAGACAAAGGAUCGUUUUAGUCUAACCAAGCUAUACAACUUAAUAAAAGUUUGUGCAUCGACUGCUCACUAAUCAUAAACAGAGUCGAUUGUUGAUGCAAUAAUUACUGAUUCGCUUAAAUCCAACAGAUAUCAUCGUUACGAUAUUAAUUUGUUUGUAAAUUGUUUUAGAAAAUUAAUUUAAAAAUAACUUUUAAAUAAA